CCUACGGGAGGCAGCAGUGGGAAAUUUUGGACAAUGGGCGCAAGCCUGAUCCAGCAAUGCCGCGUGAGUGAAGAAGGCCUUCGGGUUGUAAAGCUCUUUUGUCAGGGAAGAAACGGCCGAGGCUAAUACCUUUGGCUAAUGACGGUACCUGAAGAAUAAGGCACCGGCUAACUACGUGCCAGCAGCCGCGGUAAUACGUAGGGUGCAAGCGUUAAUCGGAAUUACUGGGCGUAAAGCGUGCGCAGGCGGUUUUGUAAGUCUGACGUGAAAUCCCCGGGCUCAACCUGGGAAUUGCGUUGGAGACUGCAAGGCUGGAGUCUGGCAGAGGGGGGUAGAAUUCCACGUGUAGCAGUGAAAUGCGUAGAGAUGUGGAGGAACACCGAUGGCGAAGGCAGCCCCCUGGGUCAAGACUGACGCUCAUGCACGAAAGCGUGGGGAGCAAACAGGAUUAGAUACCCUGGUAGUCCACGCCCUAAACGAUGUCUACUAGUUGUCGGGUCUUAAUUGACUUGGUAACGCAGCUAACGCGUGAAGUAGACCGCCUGGGGAGUACGGUCGCAAGAUUAAAACCGUUAAAGGAAUUGACGG
rnacentral:rRNA from 1 species